CCUCCCCAGUCCCAGUUCCGCUCCUCCACUGCUCUGCGCAUCAAAAUGGAAUAAAAGGCGCCAAUUGUUUGGCAAAUAUUUUCAAAAAGUUGAUCUAAAACACACACACAGAGCGAAAUGCGAACACGUUUUCUCGGCCUCGAUUUCUUCAACUCCUCAGCCUUAAUCGAAACCCUAGAUGAUUUCCUCCGCUUUCCGGUGCCGGAAAUUCAACCUCCGCCGUCGACUUCGACUUCAGGCGGUGAGAAUCUCUUCAAUUGUAUAAACACAGAUGAUGCGUCUAUUCUCAGCCUCUCCUCUCAGCUCCAGUCCGUACAGAUCGACACCGCUCUCUCCAAGUUCUUCGAUGACGUGCUUCCUCACCGCAUUGAGGUGGAUCAGUCCUGUUUUUCGCGAGAUUGUUCUGAUGAGAAGAAAACAAAAGCUCUUCCUGAAGAGGUGGAUACGGAAAAGCAGAUUAAUGCUGGGUCUGAUACUUUGGAGGAAGAAAGUGGGACUACUGUGGAUGGCAACGGGGAUGACAUUUUUAAAAUCCUACUGUUUGAAAUGCCAGUGCUAGAUAUAUCAUUGGAAAAUGUUUGUACUUCACAAGAACAAGAGCUAAAGAUUUUCUCAGAAGUAUCAGAUGUUGAAACUAGUGAGGAUCUAGUUCCCAUGCUCAAGAUGCAAGAUUUGUGCAAGAUUCAGGAAUCUCUUUUUGCAGUCGAAAAUAUUUCUGUGGAUUACCAGACAGAUGAAAGCGACUGUCUGUUGGAAGACAGCACUUCGUGUAAAGGACAAAAUCAUUCUUGCUGCGGUGAGUUUCCUCUUUUAGAAGUGGAUGUCUCAAGUUUGGGAAUAUUCAGCAGCAUAUCCAUGGAUAAUGAAAUUAAACUAUUUGAAAGCAUUGAGCCUCAAUUUUGGUGGGCAAAAGACGAGACUCCGUUUGAGGGAAAGGAGCUGCUGCAGUUCAUGGAGUUGGACAUAUUUGAGUAUCUUUCGUGCAGUUCUUUAUCAAACCAGAGGCUUGAAAUCGAUACUGUCUGUUCAGAUUUUAUUAAAGAAAUUGACCUUCGCAGUGUUAUAGAACAUGAAGUUAUGGUAGAAAAGGUGGAAAAAUAUCUAGGGAGACCGGAGAAUUCCUAUUUUCCCUUGAGGACCCCAAUUCUAUUCGAGGAGCCCCAAUUUUUCGACCUACUGUCAUUUCAUUUUUUCGAAUUCAUUUCCGAAAUUGAAGCUUUAAGUGAAGUAAAAACUAUUCAACAGCUGUUCUGUGAAGCUUCGAAAGUCAAUAACUUUAAUGACUUGAUUGUUUCUCACGAGCUCACUCUUGUAGAUGACUCUUUCAAAUCAUUGCCUGUGCCUAUGCUUUCAUAUUCAGAAGAGAAUAGUUUGGUUCAGGAGUAUCUUGAAGAAAUACUAGCUGAAUUGAAGCCACUACCAUCCUUGGCAUCUGAUGCCAUUUACUUAGACUGGCAUAUUAUAGAGGAGGGAAAAUGCAGUAGCAGUAGAUAUUCUUCCUGUCUGAAAGUUCUGGAAGAAGUAGAUGGUUGUGCUGAUGAUAUAAAUAUGAAACCAUAUGAUGCUGGGUUACUUGUCCUAGAUUCAAUUUUUUCUGAUGAUAAUCAACACGUACAAUACAGGAAAGAAGACAAAGAAAUGUUGAAGAUACCUUCUUUUAACACGCCAUUUGCUCGUGUGUGUCAAGGUGAAACCUCAAGCGGAGCACUGAAUGAUGGAUGUCAGAAAAGGGUGAAGGGAGAAUCACCACGCAACCUUGAGUCUGACAGCGUUUCCAGACUGAUUAAAUCCAUUUCAGAGUGUGAUAAUCUUGAAAGUUUCUUGACUUCUUCAAAAUCCACUUUAACAAAAAACCCUUUAACAAGUAAUACGGUGCCUGGGGGUUCAGCAAGUGAUUCAAUUGCAGAUGAUACCUGUACUACGGUGCCUGGGGGUUCAGCAAGUGAUUCAAUUGCAGCAUCUGAGCAUUGGAAUAUCGAGAUUCAUCAAAUUAGGCUGUCUGAUAAUAUUUUGGCUCUCCUUCAUGACUUGAGUAAAACUUAUCUGGGAAUCUUGGAUAAUGAUAUAGUGCUAGGAAAGAGAAAGUACUCUUGUCUAGCUGCAGAUGACUACACUUUGCCCACCAUUUCAAACAAAAAGUUAAUGGACUGGAUAAAAGAAAUAGGUACUGGAACGUCUUUGUCCAACAAUGAUGAUAAUAUGGAGCCCCUUAUCACAUUGUAUGCAAUUAAACAGAUGGCGUGGUACCUAUGUUACUAUGGUAUACACGCCACUUAUCUGUACAUCGAUAAUUUACACCAAAAAUUGCAGUGCUCGAAAUUCAGAUUAAGUUUUCUACGGGGUCUGGUGUUAGAUGCACAUGAGAAGGUGAAAAAAGAAAUUAUAAGAUUUCAUCCAUCACUUCUCGUUAUCCAUGGGAUCUUGAAAUCCAGUUUCAGAAAAAAUUAUAAAAUUUUGAUUGUGGCAGAGCGAGUUUUCUGGUGGACUUUGGAAAUGUUGUUAAAUUCAAUGGGAAUAUCAAGCAUCAAUGCACAGUCAUUUCACACUCACACAAAUGAACUUGGUAGUUCUUAUAAUAUCACGUUUGUAGAUACCAUAAUGGAGGCAGUGGUUCAUUCCGAUAGCUGUUUGAUAUCCCUUGAGCAUAUUUCCCCAUCAUUUCCCUUUGGAAAAUUCAAUAUUAUUUUGGAAUAUGGAGGUUCAUAUGGGUCCUGCAGACUAUCCACCAUUUCACCUGGCGCCAGCGGUUUUCCUAUACUUCAUUUUCUCAGGAUGGACGUGGAGAGCUCAAAUGCUGCAAAAGCCUUUUGCGAAAAUGUGGACACACCAAGUCGUAUUGGAAUAAGAAGGGAUGGACCUCAAUGUGAUCGGAUCAUAGGUGAGAACAUUCAGAAGCUGGAAGAACUGCUCAAUUUUGUACCAGCUAAUGAGUACAACAUGGGAUCUCCAAGAGCUGCAAAUUGUUUCAAACCUUUAUCUAUACCUCCGUCACUUCCAUGUCCGCAAUUAGAUAAGGAAACUACUCAAGUUUUUCCAAGUAUCUCAUCUUUUCCUGACAAAGUUGUAGUUGUAAACACACAAAGUGUUGAUAAUGAAAUGAUAAUUUCGAGGAGGAGCACAUACCAGAAAAUUCUUGCAAUGGAGAAAGAAGGGACACAGGUUGUUGAGCGUGAUUUACAUCACCCUGUGGAUGUUAUUGUCAAUGCUUCUGUUUGCCUUGUGUGGUAUGAUUGCAGAAACAUUCGGAAGAAAGCUUCUGCUUCAAAUGAGGCUUCUUCGUCCUUACCUUCAUGUAUUGAGGAUAUUGCAGCAAAUGGUCUGACUGCUCUUAGUUUUGCAUUCAGUGGCUGCAUUAUGGUCUUUGAAGGACAAAGCAGUUUCCUUGGUGGAGUAAUGGAAUCAUCAGAUGAACUAUAUGCUGCAGCAGCUAGCCUGGGGAUGGAUUUGCAGCUCUUCUUCUCAUACUCAUCUGAGAUGACCGAUGAGAUUAUUUUGAGUUGCAUUAUCCAUGCAUCAAAGUUCACCAGAGGCCUUUAUACUACAAUGCCUGAAUCAGAAACUUUGGCAGAAUCAUUUUUGACCACAUUUCCUUCAAUGAAUCCACUUUCAGCUCAUGCAAUACUGUCUUCUGUUGGUGUGCUUAUUGAAUUUCUAGAAUCGUCGCACGCAGAUAGGGUUCGUGCUGUUCAAAAGUACCAGGUCUCUGAUGAAAGCAUUGCUUUGCUGAAUGCAUGUUUCAGGUAUGGUGAGCGUGAAGAUUGUAAAUCUGGAACAACAGAAUGCUCGUCCUCUGUAUCAUCUGCUCCUGAUUCUGACAAUUGUCCAACUAAAAGUGCUUCUGAAAUGAGGAAAAGGAAAUACAUCCAGAGUGCUCUAAAUGUUGACCUACCCGUGGAUGACUUGUUUCACCUUGAUACAUCAAAGCUAUUUGCAGAAGCCAGAGAGACUCCAAAAAGAAUGUCUAAGCCAGAUAAUACCUGGUUAUCAGAAGCUCCUGAUGCUUUCAAAGAAGCCGCAAAGUCUUUGUCAUUUGAAAAUGAGUUGUUUCCUCGAAAUCCAGGAUCAAAUAUAAAUUUUAAACCAACUUCCUCUCGGAUGUCUACGCCAUGUGGUUCUUAUAUGUCAAGAAGUCGUGUAAUGUCUGAGGAGAGAGAUAAUGAUGCGUUACCUGUUGAUGAUGCAUUGUUCUGCCAAAACCAGGGACUGGAAAGUAGUGCAACAAAUAAAUUUGAUAGGUGGAACAGCAUGAACUCAGAAAAUUUUGUUCAGAACUUCAUAGGUGAGGUUAUCAACAUUGAUGAUGAACACCCGGAAGUUGAGGACUCCUCAGCAGCAAUCUUCCCAGGUCUCUCAUAUUCUAACUCUGACAUGGAAAGGGACCCCCCUCCAGUGUUUCCUAGAACUGCAAGAAAAUUGUCAUUCGACAAUAAUUGUUUACCUACCUUUUCAAGAGCUGCUGAGAUCGACUAUGACACAGAUGGCUUUGUUUCCACAAGCAGUGAUAGUCAAAAUUUAGGAGGACAACAAUACUUAAAGAAACAAGUCUUUCAAAAUUCAGACAAAGAGAUGAACGUUGAGGAAACAAUGCUUCUGGAUCACCAUAAGUAUCUACUGAAGGAGGAUACAUUGCCAAAAUCAGUUGGAAGUUCUUACAAGCAUUCACUCAUGGAGAAUAAUAUGCCGCAUUAUGGAGGUACACCACUAUCAAAUGCCAUCCAAUUUGCUCAACCGCACCAAGGAUCUCCCUGGACAAUAGAAUUUCUUAACAGAGUCCGGGAGAAGAGCAGAUUGCGUCAAAAAUCUCUCCCUCGUGAUCUAUGUGGUCCUUCAUUUGGAUACAAAGGAAACAUAUCCAAGGUGAUCAAACGAAGAAGUCCUUCUAUCCUAGAAUUUUUCAAGUAUGAGAAGGGGAGCAACCCUAGUAAAAGAAUGGAACAAAAGAGGCAAGAUCGUUCUGCACAACCAUCAAGUUCAUACAAAAAUGAAAAAAGUGUACCCUCCUUUCUUCCAGCAAUGACACCCAUCGAUAAGAGAGCAAGACAGACUCUAUCUUUUGCAACACCUGGAAGCAGUGGACAGAGUAAGCUGGUGUGGGGUGAAAAGAGUACUCAUGCACUCAAAAGACAGUUCUAGCUUCACAAAUGAUGUAACUUUAGGUGCAAGUAAGCUAUUAACACAAGAUUAGGUCUUUGUCUCAGCUCUAUGAAGGCAUCUUUUGGGUGGCGAGUGUACAGGAUAUGUUAUCUUGUAUUAAUGGCCCCGACGCUUCCGGUACAGUUUUUGUGACGAAAGUGAUCAGCUCACCUCCUGGUCUCUAAGCACUUAUGGAAACAAUAACUUGGCACGAUAUCUGGAUUAUAUCUAUUUCUGAAUAGAAAUAAUUUUAAGAGCUGGACCAUCAUAGCAACCAUGCAAUCUACCUAACACUGCCUUCAAAUAAGUGACGCAGCAUUUACUCAUCUGUUCGUCUGGUUGACUGGUUGGUGAAUAUUGGUGGUUGAAUGUUAAACUUAGCUCACUCGUCCAUCUCGAUCAACAUAUGUAGGUUUUGUUCUGUUCUUUUUGAUGAACUCAGUUUUAGAUUCGUUAUUUCUGAUAAAGUUACUAAUAAACUGUCUAGUUUAGUUAUUUUUGAUGAAAAAUAUACUAUAUAUCUCUUUGUACGUUGGGAAUAGAAUUUGUUAAACUUAAUUUUUGAAGGAAUUUGCUGGUGGAUUAUAAAUGUUCAUCAUUCCGCCUUCACGUAUUGUUUGAAAAUACCACGUGAAUGAAGUAAUUGCAUGUUCUGUUCUGCCUCUUCUUUAUAAAUCAAGUAACUCUUUAAGAUAAUAUUAACAAAUUAUUUGAUGGAUAAUAAUGAAUGUGUAUAUUGAUGGUCAAAUGUCAACUGAUGAAAUAUUAUAAAUUAAUGCCAGUUCUGAAUUUUUAAUACCCUACAAAAUAGUAGUAAUUGAAUAUCGAAUGAUUGAUCGUGAUCAUUCCGAAAUUAAGAACAUUUUCUUAGUUUUCUCUGAAAAAAAUUACUGUCGCAUAACAUUCAAGACAUAAAAUUUCAUUAUCAGCAAAUAAAGU